rnacentral:rRNA from 1 species
AUUGAACGCUGGCGGCAGGCUUAACACAUGCAAGUCGAGCGCCCCGCAAGGGGAGCGGCAGACGGGUGAGUAACGCGUGGGAACGUACCUUUUGAUACGGAAUAGCUCCGGGAAACUGGAAUUAAUACCGUAUGUGCCCCUCGGGGGAAAGAUUUAUCGGCAAAAGAUCGGCCCGCGUUGGAUUAGCUAGGUGGUGGGGUAAAGGCCUACUAAGGCGACGAUCCAUAGCUGGUCUGGGAGGCUGCUCAGCAACAUUGGGACUGAGACACGGCCCAAACUCCUACGGGAGGCAGCAGAGGGGAAUAUUGGACAAUGGGCGCAAGCCUGAUCCAGCCAUGCCGCGUGAGUGAUGAAGGCCUUAGGGUUGUAAAGCUCUUUCACCGGUAAAGAUAAUGACGGUAACCGGGGAAGAAGCCCCGGCUAACUUCGUGCCAGCCGCCGCGGUAAGAC